rnacentral:sRNA from 1 species
UUUAUCUACAUGUGACAUUUUUCUAUCAUUGGGUUUUUUAAAAAAUCUGUGUAUUCAACUAGAACUUGAGCUCCACGGAGGCAGGAACUUUUGUUUUGUUUUUCUUCACUGCUCUUUUCCUCGCACCUGUCUGAAGCAGUGAUUUUAGCCAGGAUCUAGAUUUCCUGAUUCUGGUCCAGUGCUCUUUCCAUGGUUGUGUGUGACCUCAUACAUCAACCUUAUUUCACAAACGAGGUUUUUAAGUUCCUUGAGCACAGUCGAUUGUGUUUUUUACUGCUUCUGCUCUGUCCCUGCAUAAGACAGGACUGUGUCAUAUACCCAGUGAUGGACUCCUGGUAAAUGCCAUGGCCUGACUAAAUGACCUGCAGUGCUCCCUGUGGUCUUCACCAACAUGCAUCACACGACAGGCUCACUCAUGGGAUACUUCGCUUUUUGUAGGAGUAAGAGACAAGUUGCUAUCACUGAACAGAUACACAGUGGCAUUUGGAAACUGCAUGCAGUUUGAAAAAAUCGUGAUACAGCAGGAGUCUAGUUUUCAAUAAAUAGCUUGUUCGUAUUCUGGAUUUUGAACAUUUCAUGUAACUGUAACUUUAGGGUAGUGGAUAAUGAGACUGAAAUUAAUGGUUCCUGGCUGGUUUCAGUCUGUUUGUUUUUUUUUCCCCCCCAGGAGGUUGGUAUUUCUGCCCUUAACCACCUGAUGUUUUUAGGGGGAGUAUAUCCGAGAUAAAUUCUGUUGUAAGUCAAAGAGCAUCCAUGAUUGGCUUCACUCUUUCUUAAGCAACUACUAAGAUGCUCCUACAUUUGAGUUUGAACAUUUUUUAUUCUCUUGGCUAUGAAGUUUCUUAAGUGACUCUAGUAAUACUGACGGUUCCCCUUGUGUUUACAGGUGAUCUGCAACUCUUUCACCAUCUGUAAUGCGGAGAUGCAGGAAGUUGGUGUUGGCCUAUAUCCCAGUAUCUCUUUGCUCAAUCACAGCUGUGACCCCAACUGUUCGAUUGUGUUUAAUGGGCCCCACCUCUUACUGCGAGCAGUCCGAGACAUCGAGGUGGGAGAGGAGCUCACCAUCUGCUACCUGGAUAUGCUGAUGACCAGUGAGGAGCGCCGGAAGCAGCUGAGGGACCAGUACUGCUUUGAAUGUGACUGUUUCCGUUGCCAAACCCAGGACAAGGAUGCUGAUAUGCUAACUGGUGAUGAGCAAGUAUGGAAGGAAGUUCAAGAAUCCCUGAAAAAAAUUGAAGAACUGAAGGCACACUGGAAGUGGGAGCAGGUUCUGGCCAUGUGCCAGGCGAUCAUAAGCAGCAAUUCUGAACGGCUUCCCGAUAUCAACAUCUACCAGCUGAAGGUGCUCGACUGUGCCAUGGAUGCCUGCAUCAACCUCGGCCUGUUGGAGGAAGCCUUGUUCUAUGCUACUCGGACCAUGGAGCCAUACAGGAUUUUUUUCCCAGGAAGCCAUCCCGUCAGAGGGGUUCAAGUGAUGAAAGUUGGCAAACUGCAGCUACAUCAAGGCAUGUUUCCCCAAGCAAUGAAGAAUCUGAGACUGGCUUUUGAUAUUAUGAGAGUGACACAUGGCAGAGAACACAGCCUGAUUGAAGAUUUGAUUCUACUUUUAGAAGAAUGCGACGCCAACAUCAGAGCAUCCUAAGGGAACGCAGUCAGAGGGAAAUACGGCGUGUGUCUUUGUUGAAUGCCUUAUUGAGGUCACACACUCUAUGCUUUGUUAGCUGUGUGAACCUCUCCUAUUGGAAAUUCUGUUCCGUGUUUGUGUAGGUAAAUAAAGGCAGACAUGGUUUGCAAACCACAAGAAUCAUUAGUUGUAGAGAAGCACGAUUAUAAUAAAUUCAAAACAUUUGGUUGAGGAUGCCA